UAUCUUUGCCGCAGGUUUGGUGCUCUCCUUCCCGGGCGUGGAAGAAGGGUGAAAAGGGAAUCGGGUGCAAAUCCCGGACAGUCCCGCUGCUGUGAAACUCCGUGAAGGCUCCGAACAUCUCGCCACUGGUCCGCAAGGACCGGGAAGGCUUCGGAACAGGAGCAAGUCAGAAGACCUGCCAGGCCGAUUCGACGUCA
rnacentral:ncRNA from 2 species